UACGUAGGUGGCAAGCGUUGUCCGGAAUUAUUGGGUGUAAAGCGCGCGCAGGCGGCCUCUUAAGUCUGAUGUGAAAGCCCCCGGCUCAACCGGGGAGGGCCAUUGGAAACUGGGAGGCUUGAGUAUAGGAGAGAAGGAGUGGGAUUCCACGUGUAGCGGUGAAAUGCGUAGAGAUGUGGAGGAACACCAGUGGCGAAGGCGACUCUUUGGCCUAUAACUGACGCUGAGGCGCGAAAGCGUGGGGAGCAAACAGG
rnacentral:rRNA from 1 species